GGUGGUGCUGUGGGUUAAGCAUUUGGCUGCUAACUAAAAGGUUGGCAGUUUGAAUCCGCCAGCCACUU
rnacentral:tRNA from 1 species